rnacentral:rRNA from 1 species
CUCUCGUUAAUUGAAAACUUGCUUCUGAUUGAUAACAUUUGAGUGAAUGUCUGACGGGUGACUAACUGUGGGUAACCUGCCCUAAAGUGGGGGAUAACAUUUGGAAACAGAUGCUAAUACCGCAUAAAACCUAUCACCGCAUGGUGCAAGGUUGAAAGAUGGUUUCGGCUAUCACUUUAGGAUGGACCCGCGGUGCAUUAGUUAGUUGGUGAGGUAAAGGCUCACCAAGACCGUGAUGCAUAGCCGACCUGAAAGGGUAAUCGACCCCACUGGGACUGAGACACGGCCCAUACUCCUACGGGAGGCAGCACUAGGGAAUCUUCCGCAAUGGACGAAAGUCUGAUGGACCAACGCCGCGUGAGUGAAAAAGGUUUUCAGAUCAUAAAACUCUGUUGUUGGACAAAAACGUAUUUGAUACUAACUGAUCACGUACUGACGGUAUCCCACCAGAAAGCCACGGCUAACUACGUGCCACCUUCCGCGGUAAUACUGAGGUGGCAAGCGUUGUCCGGAUUUAUUGGGCGUAAAGCGAGCGCCCGCGGGUUCUUACGUCUGAUGUGAAAGCCUUCUGCUCAACCUAAGAAUUGCAUCGGAAACUGGAAAACUUGAUUGCACAAUGGGACAGUGGAACUCCAUG